GCCGGGCGGCGAGAGCGUGGCGAGGUGGCGCUGGCUGGCACCCUCGGCAGCUGAGCGCCCCGCGGAGCGGGGACGGGCCCAGCGCGGAGCCUGCGGCAGGAGAUACUGCUGAAGUACCUGCUUUCCACCACUUUCCUCAUUUAACUUCCCCUUGGGGUCAGCUGGUCAUCAGCAUGCCUUCUACCAAGAACACCUCAAAACUUUUCCUGGUCCUCUUCUCACUGCUGCUGGUGCUGCCAGUGGUUGAAGCCCUGGAUGCCGGAGAUACCAUUGCCUUUCUUCUAGGCCUCGCUGUCAGUGUUGUCGGAUUCUGCGCCUGCCUCGGCUUGUAUGCAAGGAAAAGGAAUGGGCAGCAGUGAUUUCAAGAAAAUGCUCAGAUGAAGUGAAUUUCCUAACAUGGCUUGGGGUUGGGUGUAAGACUGAGCUUUGGUUCUAGAUAACUUUCAAAAAACAAAUAGUAGAUGUUUCUGCAAACCUGUCUUACUGUUCAGUACAACAGAAUCAAGACUGUACACAGUAAAAGGGAUUUUUAGGAUCUGCCCUUGUGACAGAAGUAUAAUUUUAUAUUGCUUGUGAUUAAAUAUUGCCUCAGAGAAGGGUAAGAACUUUUUGAAUGGGGAAGAAAAACUAUAGAGUGGCUCACAGUAAAAGUCUAUAAAUGUAGCAUGUGAGGGAGGCCGUCAACAAGUUCCACAAUUUUGGUUUCAAGGUUUAUUCAGGAGGAAGCAGCUAUUAAUCUUCUAGUCAGGAUGACAGAGUUUUGAAAGUUCUCCUAACUAGAUAGCUGGCAAGCUCUAACUUGUGUGCUUGUGCUCACCUUCUCUGUAAUGACAGUUAACACCUAACAGCUCACUUCUGCUGUCACAGGAAUGAGACUUAACGAGAACUAAGAAAACAUGAAAGGCUUUUUCUUUUCUUUGAGAAUAUUUUUAGAGCAUUUUUAUUUUAGAAUAUGCCACUCCUGUAGCCUAUGUUCUUGUUACCAAGUAAAUACACUUAAGAGUGGGACCAAUAUUGUUAUUUAACAUGUAUUUCACAGAAAAGUACGUGUAAGGCUAUGUAAAUCAGAUUAGGGAUAUGGGCUUUGUCUCUUGUUUAUUUUUGUACACAGCUUUCCUUUAGGCGUACCAUGUUUAAGCUUUAUUUCAUUUGCUGUUUGUACUUUUUUCUCCAAAACUGAAGACUUAUCUAUUUUGAUGAGGAAUUAUGUGUAGUAUUUUUCUGCAUUAGGAAGUUAUUAGAGUUAUAGUAAGACCAUUGUACACAUGUUUCUUAGAAAAUGUACACAUGUUAUAGAAAAAACUUGUUUUGUUAAAAUCCUGGGUUUAGUUAACAGGUCCAUUGCUCAAGUGUCUUCCUCAUGACAAACUUACGUUACUAGCUAAAUAUUUAGGCUUCUCUAACUGGUGCAUGUGAGUUCCACAGAAGAUUAGGACCAAAACCAAAGUAAAAAGUCCUGAUGCAAAAUGGGAGAUGUAUUCUAUUCACGCUCAGUCAGAUCGUAUGGUAUAUGGUUGAAAGACUUAAUAGCAUAUCUAGAACCUUCUCUAAGUACCAAAGGUGAAAAGGCUCAGCCAAGAAUGUUUACCACAACUCCCUCCAGCUUGUUAGGGUGUUCUAGCUGUCUGCUUGAAGCAAGGAGCACAAUCUCUUAAAAGCAGCAGAAUAAGGAGCAUAGGAAGGUGAGCUUUCCACAGUUCACAGAAUUUCCUUCUGAUCUUGUGCUGUGGACAGUGCCACUCUUGCUAGAAAUCUUGGCUUUUAUCUUUCAGAGCUGGGGAAAAAGGUUACAUGUGAUGCGAAGCUAUUCCUCCACUUCAAGUCUCUGUUCAGUAGAGCACCAAGCUAGAAGAGUUGUUGGGCAGGUCUUAUGUAAGAAAUUGGGUGGCAUAUUAUGUUCUACAAAUUCAAAGAUUUCUGCAUGCCAUUUUUGGCUGGUUUGACUUCUUUCUUCAGCCUCUGAGGAGACAGAAGCCCUUGUUAUUUCAGUCUUGCAAUUUAUGUCCCUCUCUCAUGGUUGAUAGAGGGAGGAGGUUAAAAUGAAAGCUUCUAAAAAUUGCAUGGGAUUGAAACUGUAGGAUUCAAUUCAGUAAUCUGCAAGAAUGUAGGUUUCUGAUUUCACGUUACAAGAAUAAAGGUCACAGAGUUACUCUGAUGAGUUGCAAGUUUUGCCAGGUUCUUGAACAAUUUUUGUAGCUUUCAAAAGUCUGGGACAUGGUGCACAAUGACUGUGUACAAAUGAAAUUACAGGCCUUAGAGGAGCUUCAGACAGUAGCAUCACCUUUGAAAGCUGCCUAGCAGCAGUAGAUGAUCCUGUAUGUGAUUAUUCAGCUGGGUGGGUGCAAGCACACAUCAAAGUGUGAUCUUCGAUGUUCCAGCUUGGGUAAACCAUUACACUUAAAAAAAACCCCAACCCCCAAAAUCACCACUCAAUUCACUUUAAUUUUGCAAAAUUACAUAAUUUUGCCAAUUUUUCACUAGAAUAUAUAUGUUGCUCUUUCAAUAGAAUAAGUUUUAUCACAAGCAGCUUUUCACAGACUCCUUUACCUACACUUUGGAAAAGAUCCCUGGAAACUGGGCAACAGUUUCACUUCAGAAAAACAAAAUUUUAGCAGAGUAAUUAUCUUCAAGCAAUAGGGAUAUGAGGAACACUGUUCUUUGCCCGAAGCUGAAUGUACUUUAUUGAAAGGUGUUUGCACAGCAUAAUAGCUUUGUUUCCUGGGUUCUGAAAGAAGCUUUAUUGUUAAAGACUUCCAUUUGUUGAUGUCUUGAGUGUAAAAUCAGAUACCCCUGUUUUUCUUUUGUCUUAAUAAACUUUCACAUAUGAUUUAU